GCAGGCGGUGGUUUAAGUCUACCUGUGAAAGACCGGGGCUCAACCCUGGGGCUGCUUCCGAAACUGCAGGUCUAGGGACUGGUAGAGGCUGGUAGAAUUCCCGGUGUAGCGGUGGAAUGCGUAGAGAUCGGGAAGAAUACCCGUGGCGAAGGCGGCCAGCUGGGCCAGGUCCGACACUGAGGCGCGAAAGCGUGGGGAGCAAACAGG
rnacentral:rRNA from 1 species